rnacentral:rRNA from 1 species
UACGGAGGGUGCAAGCGUUGCUCGGAAUCACUGGGCGUAAAGCGACCGCAGGCGGUCGGACAAGUCGGAUGUGAAAGCCCUGGGCUCAACUCAGGAAUUGCAUUCGAAACUGGCCGACUUGAGUACGAGAGAGGGGGGUGGAAUUCCUGGUGUAGGGGUGAAGUUCGUUGAUAUCAGGAGGAACACCGGCGGCGAAGGCGGCCCCCUGGCUCGCAACUGACGCUCAUGGUCGAAAGCGUGGGGAGCAAACAGG